GACGAACGCUGGCGGCGUGCUUAACACAUGCAAGUCGAGCGGAAAGGCCCUUUCGGGGGUACUCGAGCGGCGAACGGGUGAGUAACACGUGAGUAAUCUGCCCUUGGCUUUGGGAUAACCACAGGAAACGGUGGCUAAUACCGGAUAUGAAGCGCCCCGGCAUCGGGGUGUGUGGAAAGGUUUUUCGGCCAGGGAUGUGCUCGCGGCCUAUCAGUUGGUUGGUGGGGUAAUGGCCUACCAAGGCCUCGACGGGGAGCCGGCAGGGGAGGGUGACCGGCCACACUGGGACGAAGACACGGCCCAGACUCCUACGGGAGGCAGCAGUGGGGGAUAUUGGACAAUGGGCGGUAGCCUGAUCCAGCAACGCCGCGUGAGGGAUGGCGGCCUUCUGGUUGUAAUCCUCUUUCAGUACCGACGAAGCGCCGAUGAUGGUGGUGACGGUAGGUACAGAAGAAUCACCGGCCAACUACGUGCCAGCAGCCGCGGUAA
rnacentral:rRNA from 1 species